AUUGAACGCUGGCGGCAGGCCUAACACAUGCAAGUCGAACGAGUGGCGGACGGGUGAGUAAUAUCUCGGUAACUGCCCCAUGGAGGGAGGACACCACUGGAAACGGUCUAUCAGAACACAUACCAUCGGAUGUGUCCAGAUGGGAUUAGCUAGUAGGUGGGGUAACGUCUCACCUAGGCGACGAUCCCUAGCUGGUCUGAGAGGAUGACCAGCAACACUGGAACUGAGACACGGUCCAGACUCCUAAGGGAGGCAGCAGUGGGGAAGAUUGGACAAGGGGCGCAAGCCUGAUUUAGCCAUGCCGCGUGUAUGAAGAAGGGCUUCGGGUUGUAAAGUACUUUCAGUGAGGAGGCGUUACUCGCCGAAGAAGCACCGGCUAACUCCGUGCCAGCAGCCGCGGUAAUAC
rnacentral:rRNA from 1 species